rnacentral:lncRNA from 1 species
UUUUUUUUAAUCACAAUUUGAUAGCCCAAUCUGAUUUGGAUGACACUUUAGAACUUGCUAUUUUCAGUCACAAUUCNCAACAGAUCACCUAAUCAACUUUUCAACUUAAUCAAAUUUUUUUGCUAAAGGAAAUUAAACAUGGUUCAACUCAGAAAAAUCCAAAGGAAAACAAGAAAUUAAUCACUCUCAGCCACAGUUAUAGUUUCAAAUACCACUGGCUCAAGCUUCCUUGAGUGACCAAAAAAAUACAUACUCAACUGCAGAAUUGUUGUCAAGGUAUAUGCUCAGAAUGCACACUAUUAACCACAUUCAGAAGUUCAAAAACAAGUUCAAACACUGUUGCAAUCAAUUUCAAUGCAAUUCUGCAGAAUCU